rnacentral:rRNA from 1 species
GACGAACGCUGGCGGCGUGCUUAACACAUGCAAGUCGAACGGAGUGGCGAACGGGUGAGUAACACGUGGGUGAUCUGCCUUGCACUUCGGGAUAAGCUUGGGAAACUGGGUCUAAUACCGGAUAUUUCACGAUGAGCUCGCGGCCUAUCCGCUUGUUGGUGGGGUAAUGGCCUACCAAGGCGUCGACGGGUAGCCGGCCUGUGAGGGUGUACGGCAACAUUGGGACUGAGAUACGGGCCAGACGCCAACGGGAGGCAGAAGUGGGGAAUAUUGCACAAUGGGCGGAAGCCUGAUGCAGCGACGCCGCGUGGGGGAGGAAGGCAUUCGGGUUGUAAACUCCUUUCGACAGGGACGCGGUACCUGUAUAAGAAGCACCGGCUAACUACGUGCCAGCAGCCGCGGUAAUAA